AUGAGUGAGUCUGCAGAGGUCUGUUUAUUACAACUCUGGUGGCGAGGAUGUCCAGGGCAUGGGGGUCCACGUCUGCGCAAGGCCUUGAUGUUCUGCACCCCUCAUGUGAGGCAGGAGGGCAAGGGAGCACUGGCGACUGGGGCUAAGCCUGCAUUCACGGGUGAAGAAACUUCUGCUAGAAGUCCAGCAGCCAACUUCUGUCAUCUCAUCGGCCAUACAUGGGUUAUGCGCCUCUUCUGGACCAGUCACUGUUAAGAAGUACAGAAUGGCCCUCAAACCCUGGAGCACACAGGAGAUCAGCCUUUCUCAGGGUCCAGGUACCUAAGGGAAAAAGACCUGAGCUAAGUAGUGGUGAUCUGGGAAGUGGGGGAGAGGGUGCUUCUUGGAAGGAGCCAACAAUGACUACAACAGGCCUCCAAAUGUGCAUGGCAGUCAGGAACACCUUACAUAGCUUGCAGCUGUGUUGACUGCCUGAACUGAGAUGUCAGCCUUGACAGGGAGUAAUCAGGAGGGCAUGGGUUUUGUGGUGAAGGGUAGAUUAUGCGGUGGUAAGAACAGGACAAAGCAAAAGGAUGUGAAGUAGAGUAAGACUGGCUUCCUCCCAAGAUGGGUAGCAGGAACUGGAUUUGCUCUCCCACCUGGGGUAACCAAUAAAACCUGAGAAAAGACAUGAAUGCUAGAUACCAACCCACAGAGGACCAGGACCUCCGAGAGAUGGGACCUAACAAUUGUUUGGUUUAUUCUUUUGAGAGUGUUUUGAAGUCACGGCACAGGGAGAAGGUAGGAUUGAAAAGAAAAUAUUUUUAUGUUUCUUCACUGUCAGGGCUUUCUGAACAAAUUUUACUGAAAUUUGGAAUCUGACCUGAGAACAAGUCUUGGAAGUUAAUUUACAACUCUACAGAUAGUGGGAACUCCGGGGAGAUUUACCUAACUCCAGAGAUAUGUGUUUAUAUCUCAAGAGGGAAUGGAGCCUGGGACUUGGAGACAUCUCUGAGCUGUAAAACUGGAGUCAGUGGGAUUAUCUGUUCUCUGGAGAGAUUUAUUUACAUUCCAAAAGGAUGGAGUAAGGCUUAUGCACGAAGACUCCCCAGAAGCAGAGAGAGGUAACUGCCUCUUUCUCUUACACACAAGACAGCAAUUACUUUUUUUCUGUUGUUCUUUACCUAAGGGGUGGAGCUGUCACUCACAGAAGAGAAUUUUUCUUAUCUGAUUCUCAUUACAUUGCUCUGGAGACACGGGAGAAUGCUGCUAGACCAUUACUUUGACUAUUGAUCUUGUUACUAGGGUAGUAAGAAAUCUAUCUUCAGUUCAAAAUUUCAGUGUGCAUUAAGGACAAAAUGAAUAAGGAUGACUAUUAAAACAGAAUGAGAAGUAUCAAGGCAGAAUUUGGCAGACCAGGAGAUGAACUGAGAGUUUGGGGAGUCCAGGCUAGAGUUUGCAAGACCAACUAGAAGUAGGUGCACAGAGGGAGACCCCUGGGCAUUGGCAGAAGCUUCCCUUUGCAUACUGACACAUUACUGAUCAGUGUGUUUGUGUGGAGAAACUACUCAAAUAUGGGGAGAGACAAUACAAAAGGAUUUUUAAAAAGUAUGAGGCAUUCACAUAAGUCCAGGAAUGUUGCUCAUUCCUACAAGUCAGACUGGAAAAAUUAAUAAUUUAUGGCACUCUGGGGUAAAUUUGUAGGAAGGCUUUUCUCCAGUAGUGGAGAAUAAUUUGAUCCAGAUUGUAGUUCUAAGAGGAACGCAGAACAAGAAAGGUAAUACCUAAUGUGGUGGAUUGACAGCUGGUAGCCAACUUGUAACACCCAGCUGAACUGAGCCAUUGUGGUGCCAGGUAUAGGAGGCCCACCUGAGGACUGUUGCUGGCAGCAUAUGAGGCAGAACUGGAGAAGAAGAGGAGCUGUAGGGAGCUUUGGGGAGCUGUAGGUUCUCCUGGGCUAUUGGUUCUCCUGAGGAGCUUGUCAUGCUGGCUUUUCUGAUGAACUCACCUGUUCUCAUCAUCUGAGGAGCUUGGGACCUUGUUGUCACUGAGAAUGGCUACAGUUCAUUUUAGGGGAGCUCUCAUCCUUACUUUAAGCAUCACUUCCUGGAUCCAGAGAGGAAGAUGGUGCACUGUUCAACAUCCUGGAAAAGCCUGUCACAAUGGCUUUUCUCAUAUGAACUCAGCUGUUAUCAUCAGAGGAGCUCAGGACCUCGCUGUUGCUGAGGAUGGCUGUGGUCCUUUUCAGGGCAGUGCUGAUCUUAUCUUUGAGUGUCGUUUCCUGGCUCCAGUGUAGAUCCUUCAGCCUGCUCGCACAGAUCCUUCAUACUGCUGGCAGACUUUCUAGAUUCCUCUGCUAACCUUUGGGCCUUCCCAGUGCAGAUCCAUGAAACAGGCCUACAUGAGACGUCGUGAGCUCUAGGCCUCCAGUUGGACUCAUGGAGGCAUUGUUAUGGGCUCUAGGUCUUUAGCUGGACUCAUGCAGGACAUUGCUGUGGAAUCCCGGCCCUCAGCUGGAUUCUUUUGAUCUUUAGUGUGUGGAGAGAUUUCUUGUACUCUUUUAGUAUAUUACCCUUUGGGUGACUACUAUAAAAGAAACCUAUAAAUUUGUGUCCCUUGGAAACCCUGACUACAACACCUCAUAACACUAAACUCUCCCCAGGUAACUAAACUGCAUCCUUAGACACAGUUGACAAAUAUGUACGGGAGCACCCAGCAAAUCAGAGCUCUUAAUGUCUACCAUUAAAACAAAGAUUAUUNNNNNNNNNNNNNNNNNNNNNNNNNNNNNNNNNNNNNNNNNNNNNNNNNNNNNNNNNNNNNNNNNNNNNNNNNNNNNNNNNNNNNNNNNNNNNNNNNNNNNNNAAAAAAAAAAAAAAAAAAAAAAAAGAAAUAGGGGAACAUGAUGCAUAAUGAAGAAAGUAAUCAAAACCAGCUGGAGCUGGCACAAAUGUUAAAAUGAGAGAAGAAAUAAAUUUAAAUAAUUAUUGAACUGUAUUCCAUGGGUUCAAAAGGUUAAUUAGAGAAAUUAAAAAAGAGGCCUAUAUUGAAUUUCUAGAGCUGAAAACUAUAAUACUUGACAUAAAAAUGCAGUUAAUGGCACCAAUGGCAUGUUACACAGGAGAGAAAAAGAUUAGUUGAAGAUACAGCAACUGAGACUCUUCAGAAUGAAACUAGAGAGAUAAGGAAGUUAUUUUAUGUGCAAGAGCACCAAGGAGUAAGAGAGAACUUCAGUUGAAUUAUAUAUAUGCAACGGGCAUUCCAAAGGAGAGAAAGUGUUGAUUAGAUAGGACAGGAAACAAUAUCUCCAAAUUUAAUAAAAUUAUAAAUAAAAUAUAAACACAAGAAACAUGAAGACAGCUACAUCAAGGCACACAACAGUCAAACUGCUUAAAGCCAGUGCCAAAGACAAAACCUUAAAAGUGCCUGGAGAAAAAAAAGAUACAUUUAUUAUACAAGAAAAGAGAUAAGAGCGGCAGCAGACUUCUUAUCAGAAACAAUGAAGGAAAUGGUAUUGGUAGGCUGGAGAAUCAUAAGCAAUUGGUCUUGGUAACACUUAAGGCCUGAAGUGGCUAAGCGGGGACAGAGCAGCUGUGGCAGGAGACACCUCUGUACAGGUGAGGAAAAAUUUGGGGUGCUCUUUUAUAGACAUGGAAACUUAUUGUGGAGAUUAUGGAAAGACAUUAGAGAUUUCUGGCCAGGUAGAUAGCUAACUUGCAUGUUAGAAAAAUCAUGACAUUGGUUACCCAGGGUUAGUAGAUAGAAGAACAAAUUAAUGGGAAAGGAUGGUUUGGAAGAUCAGGAGACUGGGGAGAGUGAAUGUAACCUGAAGGAAAUUAUUGCAGUCGUUCAUUCAUUCAUUCAGUAUCUACCUAAGUCCUAUUUACCAAACUUGGAGCCAGUACCCCAAGACAGUGUGUGGGGCAAAGUAGCUGUGUAUAUAAAGCAUGUGAGUCUGUAAGUAUGUUGUAGACAUGUUUGUAUGUUAAUAUGAGUAGAUGGGUUUUAUUCUCUGCAGCAGCUGCACAGUUUUUAUUGAUCAUUCCACAACAUUUUUGUCUUUUAGGUUAUGCAAGAUACAGUGAUGAAUAAAAAACUCCUUGCAUUUGUGAAGCUUACAAACUAGACAGGGGUGGAAAUGGAAUACAAUAAUACACAAAUGCAAAUAUAUAAGUGCAGCACAGCUCAUCCAAUGAAACACAGUAGAGACCUAUUUACUCUUUACUGUGGGCAAAUAGCAGGCUUUCCGCAGCAUUCCUGAACAGCUCAAAGUUUUUUGUAGUAAAAAUCUAUGAUCACAAAUGUUACCCUCAGGCUUGGCUAGGAAAACUAAGUUAGUAAUUUAACAAGUUAUAAAUUUCAGAUUUAUGGUUAAAAUGUGAACAUUAUCACCAAAUAUUGGAAAGAAGUUUCUUGGAGGGAAAAUUUCAUUAUGUCCUUUAUAUGCUGAAAUUCUAUCAGUUUGUUGAAGAAUAAAAUUAUAUAUAUUACAAUAUGAGUAAAAUACUGCAAUAUUUAAUUAAGGGGCCAAAAUUGUUAGUUUUAUGUAAAGUCAAACACUAAGUACUUUCAAAUGGUUCAAUACUGGAGUAGAUAACAUGUCAUACAACUGAGAAGAGAGACUGUGCUAUGUAUAUAAUUUUGGAAAAAUAUUAUAUAUUUUUGUACUAACAAAUGUUUAUAAAAUGUUUUACUAUCAAUAUUACAGUAGUACUAAUAGUGAUGAUGUUAAUGAUGAUUAAGUUAUAUCAUUUUUAUAAUCUCUGUAAAUUAUCUACAAAAACUCAUACCACUAAACAAUAUAAUUAAAAAAAACUAUUUAAGCUUUACUUAAUUCCAUUUUGGUCAUGAGUGUUUUAUUUGGGACAUUUUCAUACCU
ensembl:lincRNA